rnacentral:rRNA from 1 species
CGGAUGAACGCUAGCUACAGGCUUAACACAUGCAAGUCGAGCGGUUUGUGCUUUUGCACAUUCAGCGGCAGACGGGUGAGUAACACGUAUCUAACCUUCCCCUUACUUGGGCAUAGCCUCUGGAAACGGAGAUUAAUUUCCGAUGUGGUGUACAUUUCGCAUGUUUUGCGCACCAAAGAUUUAUCGGUAAGGGAUGGGGAUGCGCUCCAUUUAAGUUGUAGGUAGGGUAAUGGCCUACCUAGCCUAUGAUGGAUAGGGGUUCUGAGAGGAAGGUCCCCCACAUUGGAACUGCGACACGGUCCAAACUCCUACGGGAGGCAGCAGUGAGGAAUAUUGGUCAAUGGCCGGAAGGCUGAACCAGCCAAGUAGCGUGCAGGAUGACUGCCUUAUGGGUUGUAAACUGCUUUUUUACGGGAAUAAUUAUGAUCACGUGUGAUUAUUUGCAUGUACCGUAAGAAUAAGGAUCGGCUAACUCCGUG